rfam:Oryza meridionalis cultivar OR44 (W2112) chromosome 6, whole genome shotgun sequence.
AAAAAGACAAACCCUGGGUUUCCGUAUCUAACGUUUGAUCGUCAAUAUACUUUAAAAAAAUAUUAAUCAUAAAAGUAAUAACAAUCUACUAAAAGCAUGAUUAAUACUUUAUGCGUGACUUGUCCUUUUAUUUUUUUCAUAAUUUUUUCAAAUAAGACGAACGGUCAAACAUUGGAUACGGAAACUCAGGGUUUGCCUUUUU